rnacentral:lncRNA from 1 species
GCCCCACCAAGAGCCGUGCCACAGCCUGAGAGCCCUGAAUGGGAAGAAAUGGGUUCCAUGUGCAGCAAGCCAGGAGAGAUUUAGGCAACGAGAACCUCCAGUUCUGUCUUAGGGUUCCCAGCUUUCUCCUUGUCCUGAGGGAGCCGCUGAGCCUGUGGGAGAUGAGGGGUGCCCAUUCCCCAGUGCUUCUCACCCUCCCCCACCUGCCCUCCUGGGGUACCUUUGUCUGCCACUUGCAUCCUAUUGGAAGCUGUCCCCAAGUGCGUGUUAGGCAGGUGGCAGGUGCUGGAGCAGAGUGCACCACCCUCCGGCGAUCACUGUGAGUUGGGGUAAGAGUGGGGUGUUCCUGCCAGCCCCAGGAGAGGGGAAAGCAAGCCCCCGUCCACCCUUGUGGGUCUCUGCUCCUGGAAAAGGUGCUCUAGCAGGCUCAUCUGUGUGAGUCACUGUCUUCCAUGUGGGGUAAGUUGAGCCCUGCCUUUUGGAUCUCAAAAUCCAGGGAUGCCGACAUCCUGGGUCUGGAGAAGGGAGGAGGCACAGGGCAGCAGAGCCCUGGCCUGUCUUUCCUGACGGGGUAUGGAGCUGGCAGGACAGGGAGGCUAGGUGGCUGGUGGUGCAGGGCGUGCCCAUCCCUCUACCUCCUUCCUCACAGCCCUGCACUGCUCUGUCCCGGUCUGGCCCCUCUUCUCUCCUCACUUUUUCUUCUCUGCUUCUCUUCUCUCUCACUCCCCUCCUAUCCUCAACCUUUUCGU